UGCCUACGGGGGGCAGCAGUGAGGAAUAUUGGUCAAUGGGCGCAAGCCUUAACCAGCCAAGUCGCGUGAGGGAAGACGGCCCUACGGGUUGUAAACCUCUUUUGCCGGGGAGCAAGCCUGAGCACGUGUGCCCAGGCGGAGAGUACCCGGAGAAAAAGCAUCGGCUAACUCCGUGCCAGCAGCCGCGGUAAUACGGAGGAUGCGAGCGUUAUCCGGAUUUAUUGGGUUUAAAGGGUGCGCAGGCGGGAGAUCAAGUCAGCGGUAAAAUGUCGGGGCUCAACCCCGGCCGGCCGUUGAAACUGGUU
rnacentral:rRNA from 1 species